rnacentral:lncRNA from 1 species
CUCAAACUCUUGUCCUCUCUCCCAGAGCCUGCCCAGGACUGCGUUUGCCAGGACCACCAGCCACUCCUGAUUCUGGCUCAGAUGAGGACCUGCUACCCUGCUAAGAUGGCUUUCCAGGAAAGGAUGUUGUAAUGUUCCUUCCAGAACUCUUCAAGGGUUAAAUCUGUAUCUGAGACCAUCUGAAGCACAAGCAGCCAGCAUUUGGUCAUAAGUCAAGACUUUGGUGGUAAGUUACAACUAAAAUUCCAGUCAUAACCCAAGUUCUUCGUAUGUCAGGCCAGUCAUAACUCAAAAGUCAAGUGUACUUUAACGUCAAUUCUGAGGGCCUCUAGGGCUCUGACCUUGGCUCUUCACUCCAAACCUAUAGGACAUUAUUUCUCACGUGGUUUACAUAUUCUGAGCCAAACUCUUUCUCUAGUCAGUCCUUGGCACCCUACAGAGAUGCCUCUCCUUUUCUGUCACUCACUAAGCACACAGCUUUUGUUUGGAGACCCACAGUAGUAAUGGAUUGGGUCCCAGGAGAACCAUAGUGUACAGUUGUUCAGUCUACACAUUGCACAAAGACAUUUGAGGAAGGAGGCUGUGCUGUGGAUACCUGGAGAAAGGCACACUGUUUUUUUAUAUGAGAAAUAUUCAUGUAAACACAUAUAAUUAAGUUAGAUAACCAGCUGAACUAGAAUAAUGUGUUUCAUUAUCAUGUCACUAUGUGAAAGUGAAAAUUCUUAGCAUCUGAAAAUAUUUGGUGGAAAACAGUUCCUUUUCAUUUGUAAUGAAUCAACUUUAGUUUUUAGAGCUGUUUAAGAUUUACAAAACAACUGAGCAGAAAUCAGAGUUCUAUAUAACCUUGCCUACCCCACUUCCACCCCACUCUCAGAGUUCGAUGCUAUUUACACAUUGCAUUAGUGUGAUGCUUUUGCUGCAACUGAUGAGUAAAUAUUGAUAGUUUACAAGAACUAAAGUCCAUAGUGCACUCCAGGGUUCUCUCUGGGUUAUACAUUCUAUGAAUUUUGACAAAUGUAUGAUGACAUGUAUGUACCAUACAGAAAGAGUUCUCUUGCCCUAAAAAAUACCCUGUGUUGCACCUAAUCAAAACUUCCUCUAUCCUUCCCCUUCCACAGGCCCUGGCAACAACUAAUCUUAUUACUUUCUCCUUUGCUUUGAGAAAGGUAUACUUUUUGUCUGCAGAAGGGAAUAUCCACCAGCCAAAAUCACAGAUACUUCUGCCAGAAGGGCACCACUUUUAAAACUGAACAAAGAUCUUACAGCAGCUAGCUAAUGCCUUGAGUCCAAGAUCUAGUCCAAUCACGAUCAUAAGGUCUUCCCCUGAAACAUUUCAAUAUAUCCCAUCUCCCUGUUUCCCUUUAUCUAGUCCAUUUUUUUCUUGGUAAACAUUUCCACCCAAUUCUGUUUGGGCCACUAUAACAAAAAUUCUAUUGACCAGGUGGAUUAAACUAUGAACAUUUAUUUCUCACAGUUCUAGAGGUUGGAAAGUCCAAGGUCAAGGUACCAGGUCGACUCAGGAUCAGAUAAAGGCUACUUCCUGGUUCCUAGACUGUCUUAUCCCUGUGUCAGCUCAUGGGAAAAUGGAGAGAGCUCUAUGGGGCAUUGCUCAUGAGGGUACUAAUCCCAUUCAUGAAGGUACCCCUCCUGCCUCAAUCACAUCCAAAGGCCCUACCUCCUAACACUAUCACCUAGAAGGUUAGGAUCUCGGCAUAUGAUCUGAGAAGACCCAAACAUCUAAUCCACAGCAAUCACCUUAUGCCCCCCUCCCAUCUAUCAACCCAACCAUCUCCUCUUUCCGUGCUGCUGCUGCUAUCGCUGUCCAAAAGAACUUUCUGCAAUGUCACAAAUGUUCCACAUCUGUGCAGUCCCCUGCAGCAGCCACUGGCUGAAAGUGGCUCAUAGUACAGAGGAACUGAAUUUUUAAAUCCUAUUUCACUUUAGUAAUUUAAAUUUAAAUGCCCCCAUGUGGCAAAAUGACUAUCAUAUUGGACAACACAAGUUUAAGGUUUUACCCCUGCUAUUUUUCCCAUUGCGGUAGAAUUCAUAAGCUCCUCCUACCUUCAAGCUUGACAUUCUCCCUUCUCUGUGAGUCUUCUCUGACUAUGCAGAAUGAGAUGAUUCCUCCUGACCCUUCUGGAACAACUGGCUCUCAAGUUACUCAUAUUUUAUUAUCAUCAAAUAUGCACAUGUGUAGUUCUUUCUUAUAUGUUAACAUGUCUUGUAAAAUUUCUUUAAUUUAUGAAACUAUUUUAGUGUUGCUUGUCUGUACCUUUUUAGCUUUCCUUCUAUUGAAAACUGCGCAAAACUCUUCAAACUCUGUGCCCUGAGGAAACAGAGCAAAGUUUUGUAACUAAUGCUUCAUCUGGUGAUAAUUGAAAGUGAUGGCUGGGGGGCUAAUUCAUGCCAUUUGAGAUGCCAGGGCACCAUAUCCAAGGUAUAAAAAAUGGGAGAAGAAACAAUAACAUCAAAAGAAAUUGAAAGUUUACAUCUAAGAUUCAGCAAGGAAUAGAG